AACGCGAAGAACCUUACCUGGGCUCGAAAUGCACAGGAAUCCGGUAGAAAUAUCGGCGUCCAGCAAUGGAUCUGUGUAUAGGUGCUGCAUGGCUGUCGUCAGCUCGUGUCGUGAGAUGUUGGGUUAAGUCCCGCAACGAGCGCAACCCUUAUCUUCAGUUGCUACCAUUUAGUUGAGCACUCUGACGAAACCGCCUCGGAUAACGGGGAGGAAGGUGGGGAUGACGUCAAGUCCUCAUGGCCUUUAUGUCCAGGGCUACACACGUGCUACAAUGGCCGGUACAAACCGCUGCAAACCCGCGAGGGGGAGCUAAUCGGAAAAAGCCGGCCUCAGUUCGGAUUGGAGUCUGCAACUCGACUCCAUGAAGCUGGAAUCGCUAGUAAUCGUGGAUCAGCAUGCCACGGUGAAUACGUUCCCGGGCCUUGUACACACCGAUAGC
rnacentral:rRNA from 1 species